CAAAGAUGGUGAGACAGGAGCUUCUGGUCCCCCUGGACCUGCCGGGCCUGCUGGUGAGAGGGGUGAACAGGGCUCGCCAGGUCCUUCUGGCUUCCAGGGGCUCCCCGGCCCCCCAGGUCCUCCAGGCGAAGGUGGCAAGCCAGGAGAUCAGGUGAGUUCAGACCCCAUCCCGGAGCCUCCUUAGCAUCUCACUGCAGGCCAUGAACAGAGCUGCCAUGCGAGCUGGCAACCGAGUGCCCUUUGCAAGGUUUAGCCCGGGGGUGGGCGCUGGAUCAGGGGGGUUCAGCCCACUGGCCUCA
rnacentral:lncRNA from 1 species